UGAACAACAUUAAAAGGCAAAUUUCAAGAAUCGCUUUUGUGCCCAUUGCAAUUUUGUGACGCUGUGAAAAUGCUCAACUGAGGAGAU